GGAGAGGUGACAGAGCGGUUGAUUGUGCCGGUCUCGAAAACCGGUGUACCCGCAAGGGUACCGGGGGUUCGAAUCCCCCCCUCUCCG
rnacentral:tRNA from 3 species